GACGGAGGAUGCAAGCGUUAUCCGGAAUUAUUGGGCGUAAAGCGUAUGUAGGUGGCUUGUCAAGUCCUUUGUCAAAGCGUGGAGCUUAACUCCAUAACGGCGAGGGAAACUGACAGGCUAGAGUACAGUAGGGGUAGGAGGAAGUCCCGGUGUAGCGGUGAAAUGCGUAGAUAUCGGGAAGAACACCAGUGGCGAAAGCGUCCCACUGGGCUGUAACUGACAAGGAGGUACGAAAGCUAGGGGAGCGAAUGGG
rnacentral:rRNA from 1 species